UCCACCUACGGGGGGCAGCAGUGAGGAAUAUUGGUCAAUGGCCGGGAGGCUGAACCAGCCAAGUCGCGUGAGGGAGGACGGCCCUACGGGUUGUAAACCUCUUUUGUCAGGGAGCAAGGUGCAGGUCGUGACCUGUUGUGAGAGUACCUGAAGAAAAAGCAUCGGCUAACUCCGUGCCAGCAGCCGCGGUAAUACGGAGGAUGCGAGCGUUAUCCGGAUUUAUUGGGUUUAAAGGGUGCGUAGGCGGAAUGCCAAGUCAGCGGUAAAAUCGCGGGGCUCAACCUCGCUCCGCCGUUGAAACUGGC
rnacentral:rRNA from 1 species